GCCAGUGUGGCUCAGUGGUUAGAGCGUCGGCCUGCGGACCUAACGGUCCCGGGUUCAAUUCCGGUCAAGGGCA
rnacentral:tRNA from 1 species